rnacentral:rRNA from 1 species
AAUCAACGCUGGCGGCGUGCCUCAGACAUGCAAGUCGAACGAUUAAGACUUCCUUCGGGAAGUGUAUAAAGUGGCGCACGGGCGAGUAACACGUAAGUAAUCUACCUUCGAGUGGGGAAUAACGUUCGGAAACGAACGCUAAUACCGCAUAAUGCAGCGGCACCUAAUGGUGACAGUUGUUAAAGGAGCAAUUCGCUUGAAGAGGAGCUUGCGGCAGAUUAGCUAGUUGGUAAGGUAAUGGCUUACCAAGGCUACGAUCUGUAACCGGUCUAAGAGGACGGUCGGUCACACUGACACUGAAUAACGGGUCAGACUCCUACGGGAGGCAGCAGUCGGGAAUUUUGGGCAAUGGGCGAAAGCCUGACCCAGCAGCGCCGCGUGAAGGAUGAAGUAUUUCGGUAUGUAAACUUCGAAAGAAUGGGAAGAAUCAAUGACGGUACCAUUUAUAAGGUCCGGCUAACUACGUGCCAGCCGCCGCGGUAACAC